AGAGUUUGAUUCUGGCUCAGGAUGAACGCUGGCGAGAUGCCUUACACAUGCAAGUCGUCGGGAAUUUUUAAUUCAAGUGGCGGACGGGUGAGUAACACGUAAGAAUUUGCCUUUAGGGGGGGACAACAACUGGAAACGGUUGCUAAUACCCCAUAUGCUUUCGAGUGAAAUGGAUUUUCCGCCUAAAGAAAAGCUUGCGGCUGAUUAGCUUGUUGGUGAGGUAAUGGCUCGCCAAGCGACGAUCAGUAUCUGGUUUGAGAGGAUGAUCAGACACACUGGAACUGAGACACGGUCAGACUCCUACGGGAGGCAGCAGUGGGGAAUUUUCCGCAAUGGGCGAAAGCCUGACGGAGAAUACCGCGUGAGGGAAGAAGGCCUGUGGGUUGUAAACCUCUUUUCUUAGGGAAGAAUAAUGACGGUACCUAAGGAAUAAGCAUCGGCUAACUCCGUGCCAGCAGCCGCGGUAA
rnacentral:rRNA from 1 species